rnacentral:rRNA from 1 species
GGCGGCACGCNUAACACAUGCAAGUCGAACGCAGUAGCAAUACUGAGUGGCGAACGGGUGAGUAUAAUGUAGGUAUCUGCCUUUUGGUUUGGAAUAACACGAGGAAACUUGUGCUAAUACCGGAUAAGCCUUCACAGGGAAAGUUUUAACGCCAAAAGAUGAGCCUGCACUUGAUUAGCUAGUUGGUAAGGUAAUGGCUUACCAAGGCUACGAUCAAUAGCUGUUCUUAGAGGAAGAUCAGCCACAUUGGGACUGAGACACGGCCCAAACUCCUACGGGAGGCAGCAGUGGGGAAUCUUGCACAAUGGGGGAAACCCUGAUGCAGCGAUGCCGCGUGAGUGAAGAAGGCCCUUGGGUUGUAAAGCUCUUUCGUCGGGGAAGAAAAUGACUGUACCCGAAUAAGAAGGUCCGGCUAACUUCGUGCCAGCAGCCGCGGUAAUACGAAGGGACCUAGCGUAGUUCGGAAUUACUGGGCUUAAAGAGUACGUAGGUGGUUAAGAAAGUUGGUGGUGAAAUCCCAAGGCUUAACCUUGGAACUGCCACCAAAACUUUUUAACUAGAGUAUGAUUGAGGUAAGCGGAAUUUCUAGUGUAGAGGUGAAAUUCGUAGAUAUUAGAAAGAACACCAAUUGCGAAGGCAGCUUUCUGGAUCAUUACUGACACUGAGGUGCGAAAGCAUGGGUAGCGAAGAGGAUUAGAUACCCUCGUAGUCCAUGCCGUAAACGAUGUGUGCUAGACGUUGGGAAUUUAUUUUUCAGUGUCGCAGCAAAAGCGUUAAGCACACCGCCNGGGGAGUACGACCGCAAGG